GGCUGCACGAGUUCUCAGCCAAACCACCGCCAUCAUACUGAAGGCAGCUGUGGCUGCUGGCUAGCUCGGAGCUGUGGGAGGCGGCAGCAGCCAGCAGGGAGGAGCUCCAACAUCUGGAAAAGGAAAACUGGCAGAGGAAUGGAGAGGAGAAAGCUGUUGCAGUGUUAGCAAGAAGACUCUUACAAGCUUUGCCCUAGUUUGUACAGCAGAGGGAUGAACAUCAACAGAGCAGAAGUCCCGACAUCCCACCGUUCUUCAGGACAGAAGGUUCU